UGUGCAUUCGCUUGGACUUUGUGAAGGUGCAUCAUAAUACAGGCCACGGGUUUACUAUCCCAGACUAGACUGCAACCUUCUACAGACAAAAGAAGACUGAGCUUGAACACUGAGGUCAUGAAGAUCCAUCAGUCUACCGUGAUUCUGCUGCUGGUUAUAUGUACGUCAUUGCCCACUUACAGUCAAACUUAUGAGGCUUUCAAAAGAAAACAUGUGGCUCCUGGAAGGCAUGCGUGCAAAGGAUUGUACUGCUGUGAUCGAAAAUAGACGAA